GUGGGGAAUCUUGCGCAAUGGGCGAAAGCCUGACGCAGCCAUGCCGCGUGAAUGAUGAAGGUCUUAGGAUUGUAAAAUUCUUUCACCGGGGACGAUAAUGACGGUACCCGGAGAAGAAGCCCCGGCUAACUUAGUGCCAGCAGCCGCGGUAAUACGAAGGGGGCUAGCGUUGCUCGGAAUUACUGGGCGUAAAGGGCGCGUAGGCGGAUCGUUAAGUCAGGGGUGAAAUCCCAGAGCUCAACUCUGGAACUGCCCUUGAUACUGGCGAUCUUGAGUGUGAGAGAGGUAUGUGGAACUCCGAGUGUAGAGGUGAAAUUCGUAGAUAUUCGGAAGAACGCCAGUGGCGAAGGCGACAUACUGGCUCAUUACUGACGCUGAGGCGCGAAAGCGUGGGGAGCAAACGGGAUUAGAAACCCCGGUAGUCC
rnacentral:rRNA from 1 species